GAACUGCGAUAAGUAAUGUGAAUUGCAGAAUUCAGUGAAUCAUCGAGUCUUUGAACGCACAUUGCGCCCCCUGGCAUUCCGGGGGGCAUGCCUGUCCGAGCGUCAUUGCUGCCCUUCAAGCCCGGCUUGUGUGUUGGGUCGUCGUCCCCUCCGGGGACGGGCCCGAAAGGCAGCGGCGGCACCGCGUCCGGUCCUCGAGCGUAUGGGGCUUUGUCACCCGCUCGAUAAGGACCGGCCGGGCGCCAGCCGGCGUCUCCAACCUUUUUUUCUCAGGUUGACCUCGGAUCAGGUAGGGAUACCCGCUGAACUUAAGC
rnacentral:misc_RNA from 1 species